GGGGGAAAGAAAGUGGAGUCAGAAAAAGCCAUGAAGCCCUGCUGGACACAGAUGCUGGAACUUUACCCGGAAAAAAGAGCAAGAAAUAGCGACCUCCAGAACUUGCAUGCAAACAUGUCAUAUAGGAGAAAGCUCUAUCCAUCUGCAAAGUUCAAGCUGACUUAGAGACCUUAUAAUUUGUAAAGGGGUGAGGUCAACUCAGGUCUAAAGAGGUCAGUCUCCACCUCCAGAUACUUCCAUCAUCCACCAGAGAAGGACCCAGUGCUUCCCCUCAGCAUGCAGCACAUCAUCUUGGACAGGAAGGAUGGACUUCAACAGUGAAACCUGCAGAGCCUUGCCUUCUGCCCUCCGAGACUGAUGCUUACAAAUUACCCAGCUUGUGC